UGUUCUACACGAACGAAGAAUAGCUAAAAACAAAACAACAAAAACAAACCUGCUCUAUAUACAUAGUAAAAGAGGCUAUAAAAUAAAUAUAUACAAAAAAGUGUGUUUAUAUUUUGAUUUAAAUAAAAACUGAAAGUAUUAGAAAGAUAUAUAGAAAAGAAAAUGAAAGGAAAAGAUGCUUACAUUCAUUCUCAAAUAUUCAUUUUGAAAAAGAGGGAACUCUCCACUUACCGAUGACCGAAAUGCAUUUCUCGUUCACGACACCGCUGGGCAGCAGAUGAAAGUCGAAUUCGGUGCCGUUGGCAACCACAGUGUGUCCAGCAUUAUUACCGCCCUGUG